GAAUCUUGCAGAUUGCUUCUUGUAUAGCUUUCAUCCAAUGAACAGAAAGAAUAAAUGUGAAUUUGAAUGAAUUUUUGAAGUAAAAUUAACCGGAAGCUUGAAAAGAUCAUCAUAUUAAUUGGUAUGACUUAGAUUAUCUAUUGGAUUCGUUUGGUUUUUCGCUCACUUAAGCGAAAUGCAAUGCCAUGGAACUAGCCAACGAAGAACAUUUAUCUGCACUGGAUAUUAGAGCAACUCGCUACAGACGGUACCUUUUUGUGCUAUUUACCGGAUCAAUGGAACAGCGUCAAUCCUCCAUCUAUAAAGUGACUACCCUGUCAGAUCUACACACAAAUUCUAUCGAUGUGGAUUCCCAAGAGGGAUGGUUUUCACAGCGUUGUACCGAAGUGAUAUCGGUAUUCAUAAGUUGAACAGCCUACGAUCUAUAUCGGUUUUGUUGGAUAAAGGCAUUUUCAACUGGCCGUAGUCCUGUUUCAUCAGUUCAGUAUGCACGCCGAACCACUGAAGCCAAUUGUGUUGGAUGAUGGGAAUGACAUCGAAAUGUGUGAAAUUCAUGUGCAAAUCCUGACACGUUUCCCCGGAACUCGUCACAACACAGACCCCAUCUAGAGCCCUUACAAUUUAAUGGAUGGCGAUCCAACAGUUCCCGUGGAUAGUUUAUCAAGUUUGAAACCCUGAGAAACAAGCUCAAUGCAUCUUAUUUAUUAAAGAAAUUUAAACCCUUAAAUCUGCCCAGAUAGGGAAUGUGAUAUGGCCAGCGUUGACUUGUCUUUGGUUGUCUGUACAUCUUUGAGAUGGCUCUCUUCUAUUUUAACGACUACGUCCUCUGAAUGCUUGCAUAUUCUUGAAGAAAUAUUUUGAUAAAUGUAGAAAUUCUUCAUGUUUCGCCAAUCUUGAAAUUUGGCGUAGAGUUCAUUGGUAAGCCUCUUAUUUGGAUCAUCUGUUUUUCAAAACGAGUAUUUGUCCCUUCAAACAAAAUUUUGUUUUACAAUGAUUUCUUGGACAUUU